AAUUUGUCUCUGAAGGGUGUUAAUAAUUUCUAUUUAGUUGAUUUUACAAAGAUAUCUGGAAAUAAUAGUAAAGUGGAUGGUGAAAUAAAGACAUGUCAAGUGCUAAAACUUGAAAAAGAAAAGGCGAUCAAUAAAAAGAAAAAUUUAACAGUUGAAAAAAAGUCAUGGAAUAAGUCUAGUAAAGUUGCGUUUAACAAAGAAUUUGCACUUCAUCUUAAAAAUAAUCGUGGAUAUCUAGACCGUAAAGAAAUAGAGGUAUUUGCAGAAAAAUUUUGUUUAGACCUCAAACAAAUCAGAAUUAGAAUUGUUAAUACUCGAAGAAUAAAACAGAGUUUUCGGAAGAAGACAGUUGCAUUUAUGGGAAUUGACGAAUGCUACUAGGUUGCUUUUAUGCCCUUAGCGGGCUGAUUUGACAAAAGGAAGCCUGCUACCAAAAAAUUAAAUGUCAUUUAAUAUCAUUAAAUCUGUAGAUUAAUACGCGUUAUUUUAGCAUAUAAGUAUAGUAUAAAUAGUAUAAACCUAUUUCCUAAAAAUAGGUAACUUGCUCUUUCUAUUAAAAUUUGUGUUAAAACUGUAA